rnacentral:rRNA from 1 species
AAGUGCUGAAAGCAUCUAAGCACGAAACUUGCCCCGAGAUGAGUUCUCCCUGAGACUUAGAGUCUCCUGAAGGAACGUUGAAGACGACGACGUUGAUAGGCCGGGUGUGUAAGCGCAGCGAUGCGUUGAGCUAACCGGUACUAAUGAACCGUGAGGCUUAACCUUAC